rnacentral:rRNA from 1 species
GGUGAACGCUGGCGGCGUGCCUAAUACAUGCAAGUCGAGCGAACGGACGAGAAGCUUGCUUCUCUGAUGUUAGCGGCGGACGGGUGAGUAACACGUGGAUAACCUACCUAUAAGACUGGGAUAACUUCGGGAAACCGGAGCUAAUACCGGAUAAUAUUUUGAACCGCAUGGUUCAAAAGUGAAAGACGGUCUUGCUGUCACUUAUAGAUGGAUCCGCGCUGCAUUAGCUAGUUGGUAAGGUAACGGCUUACCAAGGCAACGAUGCAUAGCCGACCUGAGAGGGUGAUCGGCCACACUGGAACUGAGACACGGUCCAGACUCCUACGGGAGGCAGCAGUAGGGAAUCUUCCGCAAUGGGCGAAAGCCUGACGGAGCAACGCCGCGUGAGUGAUGAAGGUCUUCGGAUCGUAAAACUCUGUUAUUAGGGAAGAACAUAUGUGUAAGUAACUGUGCACAUCUUGACGGUACCUAAUCAGAAAGCCACGGCUAACUACGUGCCAGCAGCCGCGGUAAUACGUAGGUGGCAAGCGUUAUCCGGAAUUAUUGGGCGUAAAGCGCGCGUAGGCGGUUUUUUAAGUCUGAUGUGAAAGCCCACGGCUCAACCGUGGAGGGUCAUUGGAAACUGGAAAACUUGAGUGCAGAAGAGGAAAGUGGAAGUCCAUGUGUAGCGGUGAAAUGCGCAGAGAUAUGGAGGAACACCAGUGGGCGAAGGCGACUUUCUGGUCUGUAACUGACGCUGAUGUGCGAAAGCGUGGGGAUCAAACAGGAUUAGAUACCCUGGUAGUCCACGCCGUAAACGAUGAGUGCUAAGUGUUAGGGGGUUUCCGCCCCUUAGUGCUGCAGCUAACGCAUUAAGCACUCCGCCUGGGGAGUACGACCGCAAGGUUGAAACUCAAAGGAAUUGACGGGGACCCGCACAAGCGGUGGAGCAUGUGGUUUAAUUCGAAGCAACGCGAAGAACCUUACCAAAUCUUGACAUCCUUUGACAACUCUAGAGAUAGAGCCUUCCCCUUCGGGGGACAAAGUGACAGGUGGUGCAUGGUUGUCGUCAGCUCGUGUCGUGAGAUGUUGGGUUAAGUCCCGCAACGAGCGCAACCCUUAAGCUUAGUUGCCAUCAUUAAGUUGGGCACUCUAAGUUGACUGCCGGUGACAAACCGGAGGAAGGUGGGGAUGACGUCAAAUCAUCAUGCCCCUUAUGAUUUGGGCUACACACGUGCUACAAUGGACAAUACAAAGGGCAGCGAAACCGCGAGGUCAAGCAAAUCCCAUAAAGUUGUUCUCAGUUCGGAUUGUAGUCUGCAACUCGACUACAUGAAGCUGGAAUCGCUAGUAAUCGUAGAUCAGCAUGCUACGGUGAAUACGUUCCCGGGUCU